GGCCUCUUAGAGACCAAGGCCAGGCCUGGAGGUACAUUGUCAGAGCUGCCGUAAGUUAGGCAGUCUUGAUUUCCUGACUCUAAUUUAC